GUUCAGUGGAGGUCGGAUAACGCAAGUUGGUAUUCAAGAUCAAGAUCAAGACAAGGCGAAGACUUCGAAGUGUAAGAGGAGAUCUAACCCGUUCUCUUGCAGAGUCCCACCCCUUUGUACCGCCCCCUCCCAACAAACGUUCGGCGAUCUUGUUGAUGUUGUCCUUGCAUGUAGUUUCAAAGUUUACCUCACAAUGUCUUGGCAUUUUUUGAGAUGCAUAUUGGUCGAAGCCAGUGAUGCUUUUUCAUUAGGAGACUUGUCUUACUGGACAUUUCUGUCAGGGUUGAUACUUCAAGUCGUCAGUUGCCAUAUUUAUUUUCAAUAAUUGUCAUGAUUUGAUACUUCAAAUAGUGAAAUGUUUUUAAACAAAAGAAAUACCAAAUCUAACUUCUUUUAAACAAAAAUAAAUAAUUCCAUUUAAAGUAUAAGCCAUUUUUCUUUUUAAGUAAAAAAUUAAACUGUGUAAUCAAAGCAUUUCAAGUAAUUUGUGCACUUUUCUCUAUAGCCUUCAAUUUGAUGGUGAAUGUUCGAUAUAGGAGUAUUGAAUAUAUAAUUUAGACAUUAGCUAAAUUAAUAUUUACAUAUUCCUUAUAUCAGCAUUACAUCAAUUCUGAAUGUAGACAAAGUCCGUGACAAUUUAUUUAUAAUAUUGAAGAAAUUAAGUAAAUCAUAUUAAACUCAAUGCUCAAACAGACCAAAGGUUAAACAAAAUUGAGCCAAGCUCAAGUCCCUUAAUUCAAAUUUUGUGUAUUAAAGCUUAGGGCUCAUAGACAAUAGCUUCUUCGAAUUGCUUAUUUGCGAGCGUUGCGAGAUAUUAAAAAAAAAUAAAAUAAAAAUCGAAACGGUUACAAGAUAAGAAAGACUGAAGAGGACACAAGAGGACUUAAAGGAGGUGAACAGAGCAGAUCAUCAGUGAAGCGUGUUGCCUUGGUAAUGUAUGAAUGGUAAGAUAGUCCAGGCCUAGGGGAUUUAUAGUUAGUUAGCCUAGAGAUAAGACUAACUCUCUCUUUCAGCAUGUUCCUGAGGCAAUAGGUAAAGUAUAAGGUGGUGUAGUGCUUAGUCUUGAUUCAAGUGUCUUGAAGCAAAACUAACUACUAUGCCAUCAUCAGUAAAUGCCGUACUUUAGAUGUCCCUGAUGAGUGACUGGAAGCAAGUGAGGUCAGGUGUUUGCAGCAAUGGUUAAGUAUAACAGGUUAAGUAUCUGAGUAGCGACCGAAUAACAAUUCCUUUCUUCACAGGGUCUAAUAACAAGCGUUUUUUUUCACAACCUUUUAACAAGCGUUUUUUUCACAGCCUUGUAACAAGCGUUUUUCCAAAACCUUUUAACAAACGGGGUUUUUUCACAGCCUUUUAACAAACGUUUUUUCCACAGCCUUUUAACAAACGUUUUUACCACAGCCUUUUACCAAACGUUUUUUCCACAGCCUUUUAACAAUCUUUUGUUUUCACAGCGACUCUCCCUUUAUUUGCAUUCAUGGGUAAGUAUAACAUGGUAUAACAAGUCAAGUAUGAGGUUAAUUGGGAAAGAAAAUUAACGAUUCCUCCACAGCUUUUUACCUUUAAUCUGCACUCUUUUAAUACCUGACCAUCUUUUUUAUUUUUCAGUUUGUAGAGGUCAGUGAGGUCAAUUAGGUCAGAUCUUUGCAGCAAAGGUUAAGUGCCAGGUGAAGUAUUUGGGUAAAGUAUCUGGUAAGUCUGCUCCACUGGUCCUAACCUUCCUUUUUGCAUGGUAUUGAUGGCGUUUUUGUUUUGUCAACAGAUUGUGACAUGCAAGCUGUGAAGAGAUGGCUGCUUGAGGACACCGUAGCUGAUAUUGGUUUGAUCGUAAUUUCUUCUUGGAGAUGAUGUCGAGUGUAUGAGAUGACGUCUUUACUGAGCCGAGGUGAUGCCUUUAAAGCAGGAUCAGUGGUCCUGCAAGAGGAUUGGUAAUGUAUUGGUAGUAUCAUGGAGGUAGAAAUAACCCUAACCCUUACCCUAUUUCUACUUCCAAGGUAGUAUCAAUUACAAGUUUUUGGUGGAGAGAUUUCCUAAUUAUUUGACAACAACUCAUUUUUAGAAAUUUAGAAGAUUGUGAGGAAAUAAAAACCUUAGUUUAUUGAUGACUUUGAAGGAAAAACGAAACAUGCGCCAAAGAAUUUUUUUAAUCUGUUAGACAAAGUAGAGACCGUUGUUACCAUUAUUGUCACUCGAGAUUCUACAACAGUAAGUAUGAACGACCAGCCAACUUGAGAACCAGAUGUAUUUUCUUUGUACAAUCCAAGCAAACUGAAGUUCCUCCUAAGUCAUUAGAAGUUGACUCUUCUUGCAGUUUAUCGUAAAGAUGUGUAAAAUAAUCAAUAAAUUUGGGUUUUUUUUAACUAAAUUUACCCUCAGUUGAGCAGUCUCUUGCGGAGUGGUGACUACAACUGGACCUGUUUGGAUGAGCAUCGUAGGAGGGGAGUGGUCCCUAUAACCUGUUUGGAUGACCAUCAUUUUGAGGACAGGAGCACAGAGUCAACAGCAUACGACACGUUGAGCAGUCUCUUGUAGAGUGGUGACUACAACCGGACUUUGUAUAUGGGCAUCGUUUGAAGACACAGGUGAGAGCUGCAUGUUGAGCUAAACCUUCUCGCGGUGACUACAACUGGACCUGUUUGGAUUAGCAUUGGAGGAAACAAGUACAAAGAGUCAACAACGGACCCCAUGAUUGAGACGAUAACCUUAGAGAUGACAUAGGCCUACACCCACUUAAGGGUCUAAGAGCUCUUGUUUGACUGUACCACCAUCUGACGAAAGACUGUGUCAAGUCUACCCAGAUGUCGGUCCACUGUCUCUUCAACUGUGAAUUCAAGUGACAUGUUAUGGAUGUUGAGGCUUAACUGACGCUUUUUGGACUGUGUGUCGCCAAGUGAAGGACUGUGUGAAGUCUAUAAAGAAACUCAACUACAAGUUUAUCCAAUGAAGUGACGCAUGGUGAUGUUGAUGAACUUUGUGACAGAUGCUUUGGGUUGUCAUCAACUAAAGAUAGACUUUGUCAAGUCUAGCCAGGGAUGUUGAGGCUUAACCAACGCUUUUGGGGGAUGUGUGCCACCAACUGAAGGACUGCGUGAAGUCUAUAAACAUGGCUCCCACUUCAAGUUUAUCAAAUGAAGUGACGCAGACACUUUGGAUUGUCGCCAACUAGAGAUAGACUUUGUCAAGUCUAGCCAGGGAUAUUGAGACUAAACCAACGCCUUUGGACCGUGUGCCACCAACUGAAGGACUAUGUGAAGUCUUUAAAGAUCACUCUCCCUCCACUACAAGUUUAUCCAAUGAAAUGAGUGAGCAUUGAUAAACUUUGUAUCAAACACUUCUGAUUGUCGCCAACUAAAGAUAGACUUUGUCAAGUUUAGCCAGAUGGCUCCCCACUUGUUCAACUAAAGCAAACUGUAACAUGACGAAGCCGUAUUAGAUAUAAAGACACUUGAGUACAGGUUGAACCUCGCUCCUCAUGCUAAAUAAUAUUAAUAUUUUUUAUUCAAAAAAAAAUCGAAAGCGUGUUUUUAAGUCCCUCGACAACAUUUUGAAAACAAACCAAAUAUCUUUUCUGGUAAACUUAACUCAAGUUUUCUUAGCGUUUUUUGGUAGAUUAGUCGUUUAGCUUUUCAGCAUAGGCUCAUACAAACAACGCCCAUGAACGAUUAAACUGGCAAAACUCCAUCUUUGAAAACAAUUCUUGUAAAUUUAGAUAAGAAAUAUUUAAUGUUAUUACGGAAAAUUUUUCAUAAUCAGUGACAUUUCCAGAUGUAUCCAUCAGAGUAUAGAAAGAUUUGUUUAAUUUUCAUGGACUCCCUUGCAGCAGAAUCAGUGAGUGGCAAAUCUGCAUUGUGAUAAAAUUGGCACGCCUGGGAUGGGGUCGAUUUCACAAAGAGUUAAGACUUGUCUUUUCUCGAGUUAUAGGCAAGUUACUCGUUCCGUCCUAACUUUGGACUAGCCUCAAGUUUAUAAUAUCUCCUGGGACUAGUGCUAACACUUCGUGGAAUCGACCCUUUGGUGCAGUUUGUUUAAUUGCUUUUGUUUGCUAAAACUAUUGACUACAAAUAAGUGUAAAAAUGUCAUUUAGUUUAAAUAUGCAGGGGAAGAUUUUGACACAAUUUAGACUGAAGUCGAUCUCAGCCAUUUCAAAACCUUGGUAAUUAAAGCUCAGGUUGGGUCACUUUAUAGUUAACUUUGUCAAUUAAUAUAUUUUCCAAUGGUUGAAAUCUGAACAAAAUCGUUAUACAAAUUCCUAUUUGUUCUUAGUAUGCAUUUUGCUUAUGAGUGCUUUGUGUUGCUGUUUUUUUUUUGUAAAGAGAGGCUUUGCAUAAGGCGCUUUAUAAAUGUUCCAUUAUUUUUAAUAAAUUAUACAAAUUAUAAUAUUGUGCUAAGGUAAUAGAGGUACUAACAUUAUUAUUAUUAUUAUUAUUUAUUAUAAACGUCACGUUAAAAAACAUGAAAAUUGUUUUCCAGUGUGCAUCAUACAAUAAAAACACU